UUCAGACAGUUUACAGAAGACAUAAAUUUUUCAAGAUCUAGACAUUCUUCUUGAGUUCAUAGAUAGUUCUACACUGCGGAUGGUAUAAACGUGACAAAUCAUGGUUUUUUCAGUCCAUAGCUGUAAUAAUGGUAACCAUCGGUAGGAACAGUUUACCGAAUAGUAGAAGUUCUGGCCAGAGUUCAAAGGAGAGAAUUAUAAAAUGAUAUACAUGAUUCUAUAGUAAAAACCACAUAUAUAGUUCUAUCAUCAAUAGAAAAAACAACAACAGACCAAAUAUAUGGGAACCUCUGCAGGAAAAAAAAAGAAAGAAGAAUCAAGGGUUACCAAGAGG